rnacentral:lncRNA from 1 species
AAUAUGUAGCGUAUUUGCAAAAUUGAACCGAAAAAAAAGAAUGAAUAUCGAUGAAGCUGAACUGUGUUAAAAUUGGAAAUCCAAAACAGAAUUGAGAAAAUUCGACAAUGCACCAAAGACUAUCCAAAAUAUUUAUCUAAAUUGAUUCCCAACAAAUACAAUCCAAGCUAUCUAUAAAACGACAAAAGUAAAUAUUUUCGCAGUCGACCGAAAAAAUGGAAUGAUAACUAUAAAUUUCAGAUAAUUAGUUUAAAUUAACCCAACCAAAACUUAAAGAUGCAUUAGCGUCUUACCAAACGAAAAAUCCAGAAUUAUAUCAACUAACGGCUCAAUACCAAAAUGCGAAUGAAUGUGGGAAAUGGAUGAAACAGACGGAACGAGCCGUAAAAAAAUUGGGAAUCAAAUUUUUAUAAGAGAUCUAACGAGUUACUGGAAUGCCUUUCUAACGAGCCGGUUGUUUCGAUCACUCAGCGUACCGGACAUCUUUUGGAAUCAAUUUUUGUUAACGACUUUUUUCAGCAUAUGGUGAAGUGCGGUAUUCCCCAAAUUCGAACUUUCACACUAGGUUCUGUGGUUUGAUAAAAUGCAAGCAGCUUGAUUCAUUUACGAAAAAAUUACGAUCCUGACUCUGCUUCUUUCACACAGUAAAACGGGUCAUAUUGGAGUUGUAUGAACAUUUGGCAAAAACGUUUCUUAAUGAAAAUCAGAUCCUUUCCAAUGUUCCUAAGAUGUUAUGGUAUCAUGCAUUUUUGAGUUUGAUAGUAAAGAAUUAAAUUAAUAGAAUUUAAACAAAGCACUAAACACACUGAAUCCUUAUUUUUCUUCAUGAGUAAAUUUUUCUCUAGGCAAAUUAUCUGAUCAGAUAAGGAAGGCUUGCAUGCCGAGUGGUGGAAUGUCGCUUGGAAUAUGAAAAAAAGAUUGUAUGCCCGCAGCCUGUUUUACAAAAAUGUUUCUCAUUAUCAACUAAAACAUAAGUACUAUUUAUCAUUCCAAAACCAAUUUCUUUUAAUUUCGAUUCUGGUUUCUCAAUGUAAACCUUGCUGGAUUUCGCUAUAAUUCCAACCCAAGCUCAACAAAAUGGUCAUGGGCAAUAAGAGUUUGCACUUCCAUCUAAUUAUGAACCAAAUUCAGAAAAAUAUCAAAAAUUUUUCUACUGACUUAUUCUUGAGCAUUACUCACCCUCUAAAAACCUCCUAUCUAUUGUUCGAUACAAAAUAAGGAUAUGCCUGUAUACUGGUAUUACAAUAUAAUAUUACAAUAUUCUCUUUUACAAUUCCUAUUCGCUUAACUUUGAUGCUUGAAUUAUUAUUUAGCGAACUCUAAAGUAUGUUUUAAUCGCAAAAAAAAAGAAGAAUCAACGCUUUACCCUACCAAACAGAGGUGGAACUCUCCAUCAUUGUCUGAUUAUUUUUUAAGAAAGAUGAAUGUUUCCAUAUCAUAUCUAAGCCGUAAUCCGCCAGUCUCGUUUCUGUAAAUCCAAAUUGCAAUGAUGCUUAAAGCUGUUUAUAAUAAAGUACGUUAGAUUUAUUUAGCGCAAUGAAUAGAGAUACACUAAACCGAUUUAAGAUCAAUAACUGAAUAUCGAAACAAGUGCAAGAACUGCUUGCUGUAUUGUUAGAAAAAAAAAAUUUCGGUUGAACUUAUC